AAAGCCUGACGGAGCAAUACCGCGUGCGGGACGAAGGCUUUUGGGUCGUAAACCGCUUUUGUUAGGGAAGAAGAACUGACGGUACCCAACGAAUCAGCAUCGGCUAACUCCGUGCCAGCAGCCGCGGUAAUACGGGGGAUGCAAGCGUUAUCCGGAAUUAUUGGGCGUAAAGCGUCCGCAGGUGGUUUAUCAAGUCUGCUGUCAAAGCGUGGGGCUUAACCCCAUAAAGGCAGUGGAAACUGAGAGACUAGAGUACGGUAGGGGUAGCGGGAAUUCCCAGUGUAGCGGUGAAAUGCGUAGAUAUUGGGAAGAACACCAGCGGCGAAGGCGCGCUACUGGGCCGAAACUGACACUCAUGGACGAAAGCUAGGGGAGCGAAAGGGAUUAGAUACCCCUGUAGUCCUAGCUGUAAACGAUGACAACUAGGUGUUGCGCGUAUCGACCCGUGCAGUGCCGUAGCUAACGCGUUAAGUUGUCCGCCUGGGGAGUACGCACGCAAGUGUGAAACUCAAAGGAAUUGACGGGGGCCCGCACAAGCGGUGGAGUAUGUGGUUUAAUUCGAUGCAACGCGAAGAACCUUACCAGGGCUUGACAUGUCGCGAAUCCUUGCGAAAGUAGGGAGUGCCUUCGGGAGCGCGAACACAGGUGGUGCAUGGCUGUCGUCAGCUCGUGUCGUGAGAUGUUGGGUUAAGUCCCGCAACGAGCGCAACCCUCGUUUCUAGUUGCCAUCAUUAAGUUGGGCACUUUAGAGAGACUGCCGGUGACAAACCGGAGGAAAGGUGGGGAUGACGUCAAGUCAGCAUGCCCCCUUACGUCCUGGGCUACAACACGUACUACAAUGCUAUGGACAAAGAGUUGCAAGCCAGCGAUGGCAAGCUAAUCUCGUAAACCAUGGCUCAGUUCAGAUUGCAGGCUGCAACUCGCCUGCAUGAAGGAGGAAUCGCUAGUAAUCGCAGGUCAGCAUACUGCGGUGAAUACGUUCCCGGGCCUUGUACACACCGCCCGUCACACCAUGGGAGUUGGCUACGCCCGAAGUCGUUACUCCAACCGAAAGGAGGGGAAUGCCGAAGGCAGGGCUGAUGACUGGGGUGAAGUCGUAACAAGGUAGCCGUACCGGAAGGUGUGGCUGGAUCACCUCCUUUAAGGGAGACCUCCCACUGUACCAAAUCCUUAAAAUUGGAAGGUACAGGUGGUUAACCUAAGGUCGAUUGAGGUUUAAAUUUGUAUAUCAUCCGAUUGGCUUUCAAACUAUCUAGGGCAUGGACACGGGCUAUUAGCUCAGGUGGUUAGAGCGCACCCCUGAUAAGGGUGAGGCCCCUGGUUCGAGUCCAGGAUGGCCCACCUUUAGAAGAGGAAAAAAGAAGUAAUUUUACUCUUUCGAACUCCGUUUUAACUUUUCCUGGGGGUUUAGCUCAGUUGGUAGAGCGCCUGCUUUGCAAGCAGGAUGUCAACGGUUCGAGUCCGUUAACCUCCACUGGGGCUAGAGCGUAUUCCGCUACUUGUUCCAGCAUCUCAUUUCAAGUAAGGUUGGAUUAAUUGAGAGAGACUGCUGGAAGAUUAUCCAGUUAGAACCUUGAAAACUGCAUAGUAACUUGUCAGGUAGAAAUAGUAGAUAGUGAAUAUUUUUAGUAGUGAUGCUAGGAGCUAUUCAUUAAUUACUGAAUCACAGACACCAAUGUAUAACUUUCUAAAAGUUAGAAAUAGUGGUCAAGCUAAUAAGAGCUCAUGGUGGAUACCUAGGCACACAGAG
rnacentral:sRNA from 1 species